CGCCCAAGUGGAAAUCCCUCAAGAACAGGAGGCUGCAGAACUGGGGUGCGUAGCGCGCGGUGCCCUAUGGUGUUUGGAGGUGUGGUGCAUGAGAAGGGGCUCCUGCCGCAGGCCUUGCACACAAGCAAGGCCAAGGAAGCUCCGACAGGGCGUUUGACCCACAUGCUCGAAAAAGGAAAUAUGGCAGUGCCUGAUCUCCUACGUUGGGUGUCUCUUAUGCUGAUAUUGUUCCGCUAAGUACAACAUCGUAUUCAGCAUUAGAAUUAUGGAACAUAUUUAAAUGUGAUACCAUGUUAACUAUUAUGAGCUUCUUCCCCAUGAGUAACCGAAGGGGUGUUUGUUUUGAACCCCAUGUUCUUUUUGACUCUUAUCCCGUUGUGUCGGUACUUGUGUUAAAUGGACGAGCAAAUUCUGAUCAUAGAAAGCAUCCUCUUUGCAA